GACGAACGCUGGCGGCGUGCUUAACACAUGCAAGUCGAGCGGUAAGGCCCUUUCGGGGGUACACGAGCGGCGAACGGGUGAGUAACACGUGGGUGACCUGCCCUUAGCUCUGGGAUAAGCCUGGGAAACUGGGUCUAAUACCGGAUAUGACUCCAUGACGCAUGUUGUGGGGUGGAAAGCCUUGUGCGGCUAGGGAUGGGCCUGCGGCCUAUCAGCUUGUUGGUGGGGUGAGGCCUACCAAGGCGACGACGGGUAGCCGGCCUGAGAGGGCGACCGGCCACACUGGGACUGAGACACGGCCCAGACUCCUACGGGAGGCAGCAGGUGGGGAAUCUUGCGCAAGUGGGCGAAAGCCUGACGCAGCGACGCCGCGUGGGGAUGACGG
rnacentral:rRNA from 1 species